rnacentral:rRNA from 1 species
AGUCAUAUGCUUGUCUCAAAGAUUAAGCCAUGCAUGUCUAAGUAUAAGCAACUUUGUACUGUGAAACUGCGAAUGGCUCAUUAAAUCAGUUAUAGUUUAUUUGAUGGUUUUUGCUACAUGGAUAACUGUGGUAAUUCUAGAGCUAAUACAUGCAUUCAAGCCCCGACUUCUGGAAGGGGUGUAUUUAUUAGAUAAAAAUCAACUUUGUUGGUGAUUCAUAAUAACUUUUCGAAUCGCAUGGCCUUGUGCUGGCGAUGGUUCAUUCAAAUUUCUGCCCUAUCAACUUUCGAUGGUAGGAUAGUGGCCUACCAUGGUUUCAACGGGUAACGGGGAAUAAGGG